GACGAACGCUGGCGGCGUGCUUAACACAUGCAAGUCGAACGGAAAGGCCCUGCUUUUGUGGGGUGCCCGAGUGGCGCACGUGUGAGUUACCUGUGAGUCUCCUGCCCUUGGCUUUGGGAUAACUUCAGGAAACUGCGGCUAAUACCUGAUACGAGCUCCUGCUGCAUGGUGGGGGUUGGACAGUUUCGGCGGUUGGGGAUGGACUCGGGGCUUAUCAGCUUGUUGGUGGGGUAGUUGCUUACCAAGGCUUUGACGGGUAGCCGGCCUGUGAGGGUGACCGGCCACAAUGGGACUGAGGGACGGCGCAGACUCCUACGGGAGGCAGCAGUGGGGAAUAUUGCACAAUGGGCGGAAGCCUGAUGCAGCAACGCCGCGUGCGGGAUGACGGCCUUCGGGUGGUAAACCGCUUUCGCCUGUGACGAAGCGUGAGUGACGGUAAUGGGUAAAGAAGCACCGGCUAACUACGUG
rnacentral:rRNA from 1 species